CACAUGUCUGAGGACAGAGAAAUGAACAAGACAAAGUCCCUGCCCCCAUGGAGCUCAGUGGAGCUCACCGAAGUGCCAGUGGGAAGAGUGAGGCUGCAAAUGGUAAUGGUCUUGAUCCCUAUUCUGAUCUCCUCAUCCAAAGUAACAUUUACAUGCACCAGACGCUCUGCCCAGGAUUUUAACCUUUCCUAAUCUAUCCCCACAACAACCUGGAGAAUGUGAAGUUUGAAGAGGACCCUGAACUGUGACCAAUAGGCUGUGGUGAUGUGAUAUGUUUAGAAAAGUUGUCUGAUAUGCGUAUUUGAAUGAAUUCUUC